CCUACGGGAGGCAGCAGUGAGGAAUAUUGGUCAAUGGACGAGAGUCUGAACCAGCCAAGUAGCGUGAAGGAUGACUGCCCUAUGGGUUGUAAACUUCUUUUAUAAAGGAAUAAAACGAGGCACGUGUGCCUUUUUGCAUGUACUUUAUGAAUAAGGAUCGGCUAACUCCGUGCCAGCAGCCGCGGUAAUACGGAGGAUCCGAGCGUUAUCCGUAUUUAUUUGGUUUAAAGGGAGCGUAGAUGGGUUGUUAAGUCAGUUGUGAAAGUUUGCGGCUCAACCGUAAAAUUGCAAUUGAUACUGGCAGUCUUGAGUACAGUUGAGGUAGGCGGAAUUCGUGGUGUAGCGGUGAAAUGCUUAGAUAUCACGAAGAACCCCGAUUGCGAAGGCAGCUUACUAAACUGUGACUGACAUUGAUGCUCGAAAGUGUGGGUAUCAAACAGGAUUAGAUACCCCUGUAGUC
rnacentral:rRNA from 1 species